AUUGAACGCUGGCGGCGUGCUUAACACAUGCAAGUCGAGCGGUAACAGGCGUAGCAAUACGUGCUGACGAGCGGCGAACGGGUGCGUAAUACAUCGGAAUCUGCCUCGUAGUGGGGAAUAACCCGGCGAAAGCCGGGCUAAUGCCGCAUACGAUCCACGGAUGAAAGCGGGGGACCGUAAGGCCUCGCGCUAUGAGAUGAGCCGAUGUCGGAUUAGCUAGNGGUGAGGUAACGGCUCACCAAGGCGACGAUCCGUAGCUGGUCUGAGAGGACGGCCAGCCACACUGGGACUGAGACACGGCCCAGACUCCUACGGGAGGCAGCAGUGGGGAAUAUUGGACAAUGGGGGAAACCCUGAUCCAGCGACGCCGCGUGUGUGAAGAAGGCCUGCGGGUUGUAAAGCACUUUCGGUGGGAACGAAAUAUGCCGGGCUAAUACCCCGGUAGGCUGACGUUACUCAAUGAAGAAGCACCGGCUAACUCUGUGCCAGCCGCCGC
rnacentral:rRNA from 1 species